rnacentral:rRNA from 1 species
AGAGUUUGAUCCUGGCUCAGAGUGAACGCUGGCGGCGUGGAUUAGGCAUGCAAGUCGAGCGAUCCUUGCUGAACUUUUGUUGGAGUGCUUGCACAAAGAUAAAAGUUUGGCGCGGGAUAGCGGCAAACGGGUGAGGAACACGUGAGUAAUUUUCCUUUAAGUCAAGCAUAGCUUCGUGAAAACGGAGGUAAUUCUUGAUAGUAUUCAUAACUCGCAUGGGUUAUAAAUUAAAGACGGGGACCUUUUAGGCCUGUCGCUUAGAGAUGAACUCGCGUCCUAUCAGCUUGUUGGUGAGGUAACGGCUCACCAAGGCAUUUGACGGGUAGCUGGUCUGAGAGGAUGGUCAGCCACACUGGGACUGAGACACUGCCCAGACUCCUACGGGAGGCUGCAGUCGAGAAUAUUUAGCAAUGGGCGAAAGCCUGACUAUGCGACGCCGCGUGAGGGAUGAAGGUUUUCGGAUCGUAAACCUCUUUUGUUAGGAAAGAAAAUUUAAGACCUAAUACGUCUUAAACUGACGGUACCUAACGAAUAAGCCACGGCCAACUCCGUGCCAGCAGCCGCGGUAAUACGGAGGUGGCAAGCGUUACUCGGAAUUAUUGGGUGUAAAGGGCAAGUAGGUGGUUUGACAAGUGAGAGGUGAAAUCUCCCGGCUCAAUCGGGAAACUGCCUUUCAAACUGUCAGACUUGAGAGUGGUAGAGGAAAGCGGAAUUCUCAAUGUAAGGGUGAAAUCUGUGGAUAUUGAGAAGAACAUCAACGGCGAAGGCAGCUUUCUGGGCCAUUUCUGACACUGAAUUGCGAAAGCUAGGGUAGCAAACAGAAUUAGAUACUCUGGUAGUCCUAGCUGUAAACGAUGAGCACUAGGUGUUGGCCCCCUACGGGGUCGGUGCCGCAGCUAACGCAUUAAGUGCUCCACCUGGGGACUACGGUCGCAAGGCUAAAACUCAAAGGAAUUGACGGGGACCCGCACAAGCGGUGGAACAUGUGGUUUAAUUCGAUGCUACGCGAAAAACCUCACCAGGGUUUGACAUGUAAGUAGUAGUGAACUGAAAGGGAAUCGACCUGUCAAGUCAGGAACUUACACAGGUGCUGCAUGGCUGUCGUCAGCUCGUGUCGUGAGAUGUUGGGUUAAGUCCCGCAACGAGCGCAACCAUUAUCUUUAGUUGCUACUUUUGUUGCCACUUUGUGGAAGCAAAAAGCACUCUAAAGAGACUGCCUGGGUUAACCAGGAGGAAGGCGGAGAUGACGUCAAGUCAGUACGGCCUUUAUGCCCUGGGCUACACACGUGUUACAAUGGUCGGCACAAAGGGUUGCCAACCCGCGAGGGGGAGCUAAUCUCAAAAAGUCGGCCCCAGUUCAGAUUGGAGUCUGAAAUUCGACUCCAUGAAGCCGGAAUCGCUAGUAAUGGUAGAUCAGCACGCUACCGUGAAUACGUUCCCGGGUCUUGUACACACCGCCCGUCAAGCGAUGGAAAUUGUUAGUACCCGAAGUCCUAUGUAGAUAGGCCGAAGGUAAGAUCGGUAACUGGCGCUAAGUCGUAACAAGGUA